rnacentral:tRNA from 3 species
CUAUAGCUCAGCUGGUUAGAGCGCACGCCUGAUAAGCGUGAGGUCGAUGGUUCGAGUCCAUUUAG